rnacentral:tRNA from 1 species
CGCUGCUGGCGCACGGGUUCGUGCCGCUGACCGUGCUCGCGGCGCGGACCGGGCGGCUGCCGCUGGGGACGAGCGUGUGCUCGGUGCGCAGGGCGACGCCC